UGGGGAUCAGUGAGAACCCUGAGUUAAGUCUUAGGAGUACAAGAAAUCCCUAAUAAAACAUGAAAUUAUCAACCAAGUACUAGGAAAAAAAGGAGGAUGUGAAGACUGUGUGUCUCAGCUACCAAACAGUUUAAAACUGGUCUGAACCACCUUGUGCUAGUGAGGUUAUUUUCCACCUAAGCCAUAUUAAAGGCACACACAGGCCAGUGAAAGAUGCCCCAAGCAACUUUGCAGUCUGGUAUGGGAAAUUCUAUCCCCUGGAUGUUAGAUUUUGGCACAAAUUUAGGGGAGGAUUGAGGUCUUACAAAGAACGAGCACAGAAAUACAUAAUAACAGACCAUGCUAAAAUCAUGCCCAUUUCCUGUGGUCACAAGGGAGUCUUUGUGGGUAUGAGCCAAAGUCACUGACAGAUGUGUAUUAACACCUCCCCAGUGACCACCCCAGAGAGGAGCCAGAGGAAACAGCACCAAAGCAAACAGCUGGAUUUCAGUGGAUUUCACAGUGAUCCCUGUGCCCUGGUCCCUGCACAGUGCUGGGUGAGAACAGCACUGCCCCUGUGCCACCAAGCACUGGGCAUGAAAGUAAUCUAUGAGGUGGGUGCUUUCAAAGGCAUCCUGCAG
rnacentral:lncRNA from 12 species